CUGUGUGGUUGUUGUACAACAA
rnacentral:siRNA from 1 species